rnacentral:misc_RNA from 1 species
AGUCGUAACAAGGUAUCCGUAGGUGAACCUGCGGAUGGAUCAUUACCAAAGGAUUAUUUCCUGACGUAUUGUGAACUGUAUUGAACCACAGUCAGUCUCUCUGACUUUGAGGGAGUGUUUGAGAGGGAACUACAGGGAAACCUGAUAGACCUAAUCAGAUUCUUCCUCAAAUGAGGCUGCCUGUACAACCAAACGUAGCCAUUCCUUAAACUGAAGUAUACUUGUUAAAAAACAAAGAUAACUUUUAGCAACGGAUCUCUUGGCUCUCA